rnacentral:rRNA from 1 species
UACGUAGGGAGCUAGCGUUGUCCGGAAUCAUUGGGCGUAAAGCGCGCGUAGGCGGCCCGGUAAGUCCGCUGUGAAAGUCAAAGGCUCAACCUUUGAAUGUCAGCGGAUACUGCCGGGCUAGAGUCCGGAAGAGGCGAGUGGAACUCCUGGUGUAGCGGUGGAAUGCGCAGAUAUCAGGAAGAACACCUAUGGCGAAGGCAGCUCUCUGGGACGGUACUGACGCUGAGACGCGAAAGCGUGGGGAGCGAACAGG